UUGACCUCGGAUCAGGUAGGAAUACCCGCUGAACUUAAGCAUAUCAUAUCAA
rnacentral:rRNA from 1 species